rnacentral:rRNA from 1 species
UACGUAGGGGGCUAGCGUUGUCCGGAAUCAUUGGGCGUAAAGAGCGUGUAGGCGGUCCGGUAAGUCCGCUGUGAAAGUCGGGGGCUCAACCCUCGAAUGCCGGUGGAUACUGUCGGGCUAGAGUGCGGAAGGAGGCGAGUGGAAUUCCUGGUGUAGCGGUGAAAUGCGCAGAUAUCAGGAGGAACACCUAUUGCGAAGGCAGCUCGCUGGGACGUAACUGACGCUGAGACGCGAAAGCGUGGGGGAGCAAACAGG